AGCGAACGCUGGCGGCAGGCUUAACACAUGCAAGUCGAACGGGCAUAGCAAUAUGUCAGUGGCAGACGGGUGAGUAACGCGUGGGAACGUACCUUUUGGUUCGGAACAACACAGGGAAACUUGUGCUAAUACCGGAUAAGCCCUUACGGGGAAAGAUUUAUCGCCGAAAGAUCGGCCCGCGUCUGAUUAGCUAGUUGGUAGGGUAAUGGCCUACCAAGGCGACGAUCAGUAGCUGGUCUGAGAGGAUGAUCAGCCACAUUGGGACUGAGACACGGCCCAAACUCCUACGGGAGGCAGCAGUGGGGAAUAUUGGACAAUGGGCGAAAGCCUGAUCCAGCCAUGCCGCGUGAGUGAUGAAGGCCCUAGGGUUGUAAAGCUCUUUUGUGCGGGAAGAUAAUGACGGUACCGCAAGAAUAAGCCCCGGCUGACUUCGUG
rnacentral:rRNA from 1 species